UGGGGAAUAUUGCGCAAUGGGGGAAACCCUGACGCAGCGACGCCGCGUGCGGGAUGAAGGCCUUCGGGUUGUAAACCGCUUUUGAUUGGGAGCAAGCUUUCGGGUGAGUGUACCUUUCGAAUAAGCGCCGGCUAACUACGUGCCAGCAGCCGCGGUAAUACGUAGGGCGCAAGCGUUAUCCGGAAUUAUUGGGCGUAAAGAGCUUGUAGGCGGUUCGUCGCGUCUGGUGUGAAAGCCCAUCGCUUAACGGUGGGGUUGCGCCGGGUACGGGCGGGCUAGAGUGCAGUAGGGGAGACUGGAAUUCCCGGUGUAACGGUGGAAUGUGUAGAUAUCGGGAAGAACACCAAUGGCGAAGGCAGGUCUCUGGGCUGUUACUGACGCUGAGAAGCGAAAGCGUGGGGAGCGAACAGG
rnacentral:rRNA from 1 species